UUUCCGUAGGUGAACCUGCGGAAGGAUCAUUAGUGAAUAUUAGUGCGUCUACUUCGGUAGUGCCUGACUUCCACUUUCUAACUCUGUGCACUUAUGUGGCGGAAAAUGGAAUUAGUAAUCUGUCUAAUGACGAUUGCGACUUCUUACUUUCUGCGGCCUACUUUAAACACUAGUCAAAGUAUGUAACGAAAUAUCGAAACAAAUAAAAACUUUCGACAACGGAUCUCUUGGCUCUC
rnacentral:misc_RNA from 1 species